UGCAAGUCGAACGGCAGCGCGGGAGCAAUCCUGGCGGCGAGUGGCGAACGGGUGAGUAAUACAUCGGAACGUGCCCAAUCGUGGGGGAUAACGCAGCGAAAGCUGUGCUAAUACCGCAUACGAUCUACGGAUGAAAGCAGGGGAUCGCAAGACCUUGCGCGAAUGGAGCGGCCGAUGGCAGAUUAGGUAGUUGGUGAGGUAAAGGCUCACCAAGCCUUCGAUCUGUAGCUGGUCUGAGAGGACGACCAGCCACACUGGGACUGAGACACGGCCCAGACUCCUACGGGAGGCAGCAGUGGGGAAUUUUGGACAAUGGGCGAAAGCCUGAUCCAGCCAUGCCGCGUGCAGGAUGAAGGCCUUCGGGUUGUAAACUGCUUUUGUACGGAACGAAACGGUCUUUUCUAAUACAGAAGGCUAAUGACGGUACCGUAAGAAUAAGCACCGGCUAACUACGUGCCAGCAGCCGCGGUAAUACGUAGGGUGCAAGCGUUAAUCGGAAUUACUGGGCGUAAAGCGUGCGCAGGCGGUUAUGUAAGACAGUUGUGAAAUCCCCGGGCUCAACCUGGGAACUGCAUCUGUGACUGCAUAGCUAGAGUACGGUAGAGGGGGAUGGAAUUCCGCGUGUAGCAGUGAAAUGCGUAGAUAUGCGGAGGAACACCGAUGGCGAAGGCAAUCCCCUGGACCUGUACUGACGCUCAUGCACGAAAGCGUGGGGAGCAAACAGGAUUAGAUACCCUGGUAGUCCACGCCCUAAACGAUGUCAACUGGUUGUUGGGUCUUCACUGACUCAGUAACGAAGCUAACGCGUGAAGUUGACCGC
rnacentral:rRNA from 1 species